rnacentral:rRNA from 1 species
UACGUAGGGGGCUAGCGUUGUCCGGAAUCAUUGGGCGUAAAGAGCGUGUAGGCGGUCCGGUACGUCCGCUGUGAAAGUCGGGGGCUCAACCCUCGAAUGCCGGUGGAUACUGUCGGGCUAGAGUGCGGAAGAGGCGAGUGGAAUUCCUGGUGUAGCGGUGAAAUGCGUAGAUAUCAGGAGGAACACCGGUGGCGAAGGCGGCCCUCUGGACGGUGACUGACGCUGAGACGCGAAAGCGUGGGGAGCAAACAGG